CCUACGGGCGGCAGCAGUGAGGAAUAUUGGUCAAUGGACGCAAGUCUGAACCAGCCAUGCCGCGUGCAGGAAGACGGCUCUAUGAGUUGUAAACUGCUUUUGUACGAGGGUAAACGCAGAUACGCGUAUCUGUCUGAAAGUAUCGUACGAAUCAGGAUCGGCUAACUCCGUGCCAGCAGCCGCGGUAAUACGGAGGGUUCAAGCGUUAUCCGGAUUUAUUGGGGUUAAAGGGUGCGUAGUCGGGCGGAGAAGUGAGAGGUGAAAUCUCGAGGUGAAACAUCGGAAUUGUCUGUGAUACUGUUCGGCUAGAGAGUAGUUGCGGUAGGCGGAAUG
rnacentral:rRNA from 1 species